ACUGUCAGGGAAGGGGAAGAGUCGCGGUUUCACCCGUGGAGCACGCAGGAGGAGAGAAGCUUGCAGUACAGCGGGGUCCGGGGCUCAGCCCACGGGAGCCUGCAGGACCCGAGCUGUGCCUCAGAGCCGUGCAAUGUCUGGACUCUGCCUCUGGAAUUGCAGUUCUCCAGAGUAAAAGCCACAAAGAGCACCACAGGAGGCUGCGGGAUCCGGGGAAGACCUGCUCCCCGGGAGCCCACGGAGACUUCCAGGAGCGUGGGAUCCAUGGACAGACUGACAGACAGCAAAGGCCAGGCUCUGGGAGGUCUAAGAGUCCGUGGCCGCCCCGCCUCCCCCAGCUUCCCUCCCCUUCCCCCACUACCUGAAGCUCUGAGGCUUCCCGCUUCCUGGCUGUAACUCAGAUCUGGCCGCUCUGUGCCAAUGACUGGCUGCGUAGCUGAACUCAGGCUUCACAUGAGCAAUGCCUGCUCUCACAUCAUUCAAGGGAGAAGCUUGCCCUGAUAGUUAUCUACCAACACCUUCCAUGCUCACACCGCACCCCUGGGUGCCCCUCGCUUCCUCUGCACAGCUGGGCGACUUCUCACCGCCGCGCUCCUUCAUUCGGCCUGCAAGUGGAGGAAGUCAAUAAUUUCCAGGAAUGAAUGGGCAUGUCUUUCUCUGGCAGAUCUCUCUCUCCAGUGGCCAAAAAGCUGAGGAAGGCGGGGAAUGCACCCACGAAGGCCUCGGGUACCACCAAACCAAGGCUAAAGGACAGGAAGAUGGCAUUGCGGGCUUUUCAUCUCCAAGGACAUUAAAGGGGUCAUCUUCAAAGAACUUGUUGCUCCUAAACAGGCCAAAGACUGUUUGGGAUUACCAGAGGCUGUAAUAUUAUGUGGUAGGAUAUUGUCAAUAUACAACUUGGUGUGUUGAUAUUUUGUGUGGACACGUGAGUGGCAUCGAGAACAUUUACACGGCCUGCUGACUGUUGUGUCCACCGGAUCUCCACAGCCUUCUCGUCUUUCCGGUGAAGCUUCUUGCCUAGCAAGCACUGGUUUUCCUCUUUGCUCUCCCUCCCUAAGCCUUCAGUCAUCGCAUUCUCCUCUACACCCUUCAUAGAGGGAAGAACUGUAUAAGAACCACAGGUGGUGAUGGAGUCCAUUUUCUUAGCACGGUGUCCAGGUUCUUCUUCCCUGUCGAGGUUUGUGUUAGCUACACCUUCCUGUCGAUGUGCUACAAACAAAUGAACAAACCAACAAAACCACAACCAAAAAAACAACUUAUGGAAGAAAGAUGUUUUGUGUUGUGUUUUGUAGUGUUUGUUUUGUUUGUUGUUGGUUUUCUUGCUUCUGGCUUCUGGUCCCCGAGGGGACAAGAGCCCAUCAUGGUUAGGAGGUGCGGAGAUCUUGGACCACCAGCAGAGAGCGGAAGGUAGAAGGAGGGCCAGCCUAUAAACUCCGAGACCCCGCCCUCGGUGACGUGCCCUCUCCAGCAAGGCCGCAUGCUUUCCCAGACCUCGCCACAGCUGAGGACCAGGUAUUCAAAUGGCUGAGCCUAUUUUCACUCAAACCACCACAAGGCCGGAUAUUUAGCUUAUUGUAUUUCCAAGCCUCACCUUGUUUCCUGUCCAUCCAAGAACGGACCCUCGGGGUAAAGCGAACGAUGCCGCGAAGACAGAGCAUACCGACAACUGGUUGAGACCCUUUAUGUCUUUUGAGGCUAGGCCCUGCUGUCGUUUGAAUAUGAGAAGCUCCUCCCAAAGGUCCUUGUUCGGCCCAGUCAAAGCAAGGGAGUCUCUCUCUCUACACCUUUCAGCAGUAAAUACGAACGGUGUGGGGAAUCACAUCAACCACACCUGAUCCCCGGACACUUUGGGCUCCGCAGGUGCCUGGCAGGUUGGCUAUGGAGGAGCAGGGGUAAGGAUGCUCCCUUGGACUCGAAGGCUCCAGGCACAGUUCACACUAGAACACACCUGCCAUUCUCCCAGUCCCGCUGCCAAGAGCAACCAGAACCUCCUGAGGCUGACUUGAAGGGUCCCUAAGAAACAAGGUCACACCUGAGCCUUCCUGCAAAGGUUGAAUUCUUGUUCCCCAUGCGUUUUAGUUACUUUUCAGUUGCUGUGGUAAAAAUACCAUAAGCAAGGCACCUUAGAGAAGAUAUAUAUAUAUAUGUAGGCUUCAGAUUCAAGAGUCCAAUAGAAGAGGGCAGAGCCCCAGGGUCAGGAGCAGGAAGCUGUGACCUCACAUAUGGAGGCACAGCACAAAGCAGACAAAGUGAGCUGCAAAUGGCAGCGUGGAGUCUUUAAACCCUCCAAGCCCCUUCAGAGUGAUGCACUUACCCCAUCCAGGCCGUACCUCCUAAACCUCCCCCAAAGCACCAUGACAAAUCCAUGAGCUUGUGGGGGGCAUUCUUGUUCAAACCACCAUACCAUGAGUCAGCUGGCACAUCCACGAGUCUUUCGAGCCAGUAGAUCAGGGCCCUUGGCAAUGCCAGGAGAAGAGAAAGGGGCCUCUCAGACUGCAUCAGCUACUUCAGUCUGGGCCAGGCCAGGCCAGGCUGGGCCCUGGAGAUCUCUGAAGUGAAAACCCAAGAAGGCAGGCUUGCUCUGUCUGUCUGUCUGUCCACCUGCCUGCCUGCCUGUCUCUGGUAGUUACUCCUGCUUUCGAGGCUCCUGCAGAAACAGCUAGCAGGCUGUGGGAUGAGUUCACCACUGAGAACUUCUUGGCCUGGGCUGGAGAAAGGGUCUCCUCCAAGGAAGAGACAGGUAUGGGGACCUCCCUCUGCAGUCCCACCUGGGGAGGGCAUCUGUCCUGCUCAGUCGUGUGGGUUUUCUUCUCUCUGCCUAUCUCGUGUAAUUGCCAACACGGAGAAAGCUAAACAUUGCAGGGCUCCCUUUGCAGGGGCAUUGGACAGUUCUAAGACACACACAAUAAAGAUAUCUUGGUGUGGGGGAAAGGCCCUCUGGAGGCUAAUCUGCAUAUAUUUUCAUUCGUAUGCAUGCAUAUAAUGUCGCCUAUGAAGCUUCUUCCAGACGCUGAAAACAAAAAUUCAACUCUUAAUAUUUUACAAAUUAAAGGCAGGAGGAACCACAAAAGACCUUUUCAUUUGCAGUUUAAAUUUAAAACUAAUCACAGAGCCUUUUUCUUUUCCCACUCUCCCUCCCUGUCUUCCCUCCCUCUCUCUGGGUUUGAUCAUAGGACUCUUAAUUCACAGAAGUCAAACACUCUUACUAUUGUAUAAGAACCUUAAUACAGGGUGGGGGUGGGUUGUAGGGUGGCGUUGUGUGUGUGUGUGUGUGUGUGUAUGUGUGUGGAACGACACAGGUUCUCAUAGUGUAACCCAGGCUGGCCAGGAACUUGCUAUGUAAACUAGGUUGGCCUUGAGCUCACAAAUCUCUACGUGCCUCUGCUUCCAGGAUUGCUGGGAUUAAAAGUAUAUACUUCC
ensembl:processed_transcript Gm15411 predicted gene 15411